CUGGAGACCUUGAACUGAUAGCCGAAAAAAUGUGCAUCUUGGGUCUCAGGUGAAAAUUCCUGAUUGUGAUAUUUUUUACCUCGCUGGUUUCUUCCACAAUGCAGCUGCAUUAGAGAAUAAAGAAAUACUGCGUUUAUUUUCUUAUGCUCUUAUACAAACAAUGUUGGACAUCAAAUGCUAUGUAAUAUCUUAUGUGUUCAAUAAUACAAUUUUGAUGCUAAGUAAUUUGACAUGAUUUUGUCUUUAUGAGCAGCCAAGUAAGAAAUGUUGUUGCUUAAUUUUGUAAGAAAUUGAAAAGACUCAGGAUUAAGCAUGGAGAUGAUGAUAUGGAAGAUGUUAAAGGCGUGAUUACAAAAAAAGGAUUAAUUUAUUUAUCACAGGGAUGCCUUGAAUUGGAAUACCUUGCUACAUAUAUGUCUGACACCACAAAUGCAUCCCUAGAAUGAAAAAGCUCUAUAACUUUCUGUUGGUCUUAAUUGGAAAACAAGAAACAAUAACAGAUUUUGCAUCUACUGUUAGGCCUUUGAUCCCCAAGGUUACAAUCCAUAAAUAAUUAUGUAUACCAUUGAGAUCCAUUAUUUUAUUUUAUUCUUUCAAGAGUUGGUGUAAUAAGUUUGAUUUUUUUUUUUUUUUUUUUAUGACGGGGGAACCCCGCAAUCGCUACUCUCUGAGUGCAUACUGGGUAAACUCUCGAACUGAUGCAAAGCAAGUUUGCUUUCUUAGUGGAUAGGAAAGCGAUUGAGGCCUUGUUGCUCUACUUUUCAUCCGUAUGUAGUUUUGAUGAGUUGGACUUGUUUUGAUAUAUUAUGUUAAUGCUUGCAACCAUGGAUCAGUGCAAUAAAAUUCAUUAGAAAUAAAAUUUCUCAAUUGUGUAUCCACUUGCAUAAAUCCUUUUUGCUCAUAUAAUUUUCUUUUUCUUUUCCGAUGUCAUGAAAUUCAUUUCCCUUUUCUCCAUUUUUGGAGCACUAAAAUUGGAUGGAAUUGGAAAACAAUAUAAAAACUUUUGAAUUAAAAAGAACAAAAAGAAAUGGAAAAAAAAUUGAAAUUUGUUCCAAUGGACUUCACAACUUUUAUCUAUUUAUAUAAUUCGAGGAACUCAUAAUUAAUUUUCACUUAUUUAUUACUAAUUUUUAUAAUUAUUUAUAAUUUAAAAGUGCAGAUAAUUCGUCCACCUACCUUUCCACAUUCAAAUAGUCGCAUUUCUCUCUAAUCUUGGGUCAAAGUCUACGCGUUAUCAUCUUCUUCUCUUUAGUCUUUGCCCUGAGAAAUAGAAAUAGAUGAAAGAGCAUGAAUUUUAUUAGUACAUGUGCUAUCAGUAAAGCUAGAUCAUACAACAAUACAGUAUGGGAGUGCGUGAUUCCAUAUAUACAAGAGCCUCAAGAUCGGGCUGCGAUUUCCCUGGUGUGCAAAAGUUGGUACGAGAUCGAUGCCAUCACGAGAAAGCACAUCACUAUUGCCCUGUGUUACACCACCACUGCCGACCUCCUCUUACGGCGGUUCCCCCACCUGGAGUCCCU
rnacentral:lncRNA from 1 species